AUCGUAAUCCUAAUAUCCUCGGCUCCCCGCUCCCCGCCCAAGGCCCCGCCGCAUCGGUGCAUCCGCAGCUCAUGUUCGCCUUCUUCGGUCUCAUAUUGGCAUCCACAAGUCUCCUGUUUCAUCUUGCUCUUCGCUCUCAAUCCCCCUUCGCCCCUCCCAUCUUUCUCUUCGCUAACUUCCCUAAUCCCCUUUGUUGAGACUCACAAUUAGAUCGUCUUUCUCCUUUGGUGUUUGUUGUCGGCGGCCGGUGAAUCGGCAACUCUAGAGCUCGGGCUGCUCAAGGUUAGCAAGUUCUUUCCUUCUCCUUUGCGAUUUCUAGAGGAGCAUCGUCGACGGCUUACAAGUGACAUGGUGGAUGUCUUAUCCUACAUCAAAGACUGGCAGUUAGCGAACUCUCACAUGCAGCACAAUCUGGAGAGGGACACCACAAAUAUUGAAUCUAUCCUUGAGAGCAUAAGCCAGAGUCUAAUGCCUAACAUGAGUGACUAUCUUGUGUAUUGCCUUCUAUUGUGCCUUGUUGUAAUGGACUAAUGGAACAUUAGAAUUUAGGAGUUCACUGCACUCUUUUUUCUUUCCUAAGAUUUUUCAUGAGGUGUGAGUUUUUAUGUAGGAAGGUUUUUAAUAAGGCAGCAUUGCACACAACGUCUCCAAUAUAAUCUUUAUAUUCU